ensembl:snRNA U4 U4 spliceosomal RNA
AGCUUUGUGGAGUGGUAGUAUCAAAGCCAAUGAGGUUUAUCCAAGGCAUAAUUAUUGCUAAUUGAAACUACUAUUUCCAUUCUUAAUUCUGUUAAAGAGUUAAUAAACUUUAUUUUUACCCUUUUCUUACAAAA